rnacentral:rRNA from 1 species
GACGAAGGUGGCGAGCGUUGUUCGGAAUCACUGGGCAUAAAGCGCACGUAGGCGGUGACGUAAGUCGGGGGUGAAAUCCCUCGGCCUAACCGAGGAACUGCGCCUGAUACUGCGUUGCUUGAGGACCAGAGGGGUGCAUGGAAUUUCCGGUGGAGCGGUGAAAUGCGUUGAUAUCGGAAGGAACUCCGGCGGCGAAAGCGAUGCACUGGCUGGUUUCUGACGCUGAGGUGCGAAAGCCAGGGGAGCAAACGGG